UUGCCGGCUGGUUUGGCAGCGGGCUGUUGGGUUUCGGCCUCGGCGCGUGCCUGACUGAGCAGGAUUUGUUCAAUGCGCACGUUGGCAGU
rnacentral:tRNA from 1 species